ACUAAUCAACCCUAGCUAGGCGCCCGCCCAUUCAUCUUCUCUCCCCUCCCUCUCCUCAUAGAAAUUGCAAAUUGCAAAGAAUCAAUAAAUUCUCGUCUCAAAUCCAUCAAUGGGCGAAUUCAAAUUGGUUUCUCUCUCCUAAUACUAUGCUGCUUCAUCUUCCCCGCUUGCUAAUUCGCCGCCACUGAAAAAGAAGCACAAAAGAGGAGCUCAUGGAAGAACUGCUACUCAAACCGUCGCUCCGUCGUCAAUAAUACUGCAGAAAUCUACUAUUUUUUAAAUCUAAAUCCAAAAUGAGAUUUCUUUGUGUUGACCUUAUUCACUCCAGGUAAUUGUAUUUAUUUAUUUUACUUCAAUGUUAGAUUUUUUUCCUUCAAUUUUUCUACGGAUCGGGACCCUUUAAGAUGAAUUUGAGUCCCUUUGUUUUGUUCCUGGUGAAUUAUAGAUCUGGUGUUGUGUUUAUGAGUUUCUUCUUUUUUUGUUCUGUUUCAAAAAAAUUGGUUUUCUCUCUUCAACUUGUCGAGUAUUUCGGGAAUUAGGGUUAUUGAUUUUGUUUCUAUUAUUUUGGUUUGAUUCAUGAUGAUGAGGGACCCUGAACAAUCCGCAGAUUCUAUUAUGAAGUCACACCUGAUAUCACAGAUGCUCCAAAAGACCAAGUACAGGAUCAAGGAACUGAUGUUGUAGGGGAGGUAGUCGAGGUUGGAUCUUCGGCAACAAAGUUCAAAGCUGGUGACAAGGUUCUGACCCUGUUAAGCCAUGAUUGGAAAAAGAGACAUGACAGUUGCUAGACCAUCAGAAGUAUGAGUAGCGGAAGCUGCAGGCUUACCUCUUUAAUCUUUUGAUGUGAAACUUGGUUGAACAUGACUAGCUCUGGAACUGGAAUACUGGAUAGUGCAAAUCAAGGGAGACUCCAUGCUUUUCUAUUCAAGGUCCCGGAUGCAUUUGGAGAUAAUGGUGGUGGAAGAAAAGAAUCAAGUGGUGAUGCAUAGCUCCUUCAACUAUGAAGCUGAUAUUCUUGAACUUGUAUUGAGUGGCCUUUGUUUUAAUUUGAAGAUGACAUUUUAGAAUAAUAAGUUGGAAUUAUAAUAGUAGAUAUGUUUUGGGUAUUAAAUUUGUGUUUUGGAGAUACUAGCUAGCUAAUUUAAUAGUUUGGAUAAUGUGUAAACUUAAUUUGAUGAUAUGAUUUGGAGCGAGCUAAGUACGUAUUAUUACAUUUUAAAGGUGUUCAUGCUAUAUAUAGUUAAUUA